AGCGACUGUGCAGGUUACCGCGGCUGCUGGCACGGAGUUAGCCGGUGCUUCUUCUGUGAGUGAUGUCCUUCCUGCCGGCUAUUAACCCGCAGGCCUUCUUCCUCACUGAAAGUGCUUUACAACCCGAAGGCCUUCUUCACACACGACGGCAAUGGCUGGAUCAGGGUUGCCCCCAUUGUCCAAUAUUCCCCACUGCUGCCUCCCGUAGGAGUCUGGGCCGUGUCUCAGUCCCAGUGU
rnacentral:rRNA from 1 species